AGAUAAUAAUAAUAAUAAGAAGAAGAAGAAGAAGAAGUUUAUUUAUAUCCCGCCUCCAUCUCCCCCGAAGGGGACUCGGGGCGGCUUACAACAAAAUCCAAAUACAAGCAAUGAUAAAAUAUAAAACAUCAAAGGACAAAAACAAAAACCAAUAAUAAAAUAUACACAUUAGGUGAAAAAACACACCACAGAAUUAAAACAUCAGAUUAAAAACAAAAAGGUUGCAAUAGUGGAUAAGCAAGGCAGAGACUAUCUAGUCCAGGCAGGAAGACACCAUCAAAGCCCUCCCAACAGAUGGCCAUCCAGCCUCUGCUUAAGAACCUCCAGAGAAGGAGGCACCACUAUCAUCAUUAUUAUCAAAAGUUGAUAUUAUUCUUUUUAUUAUUUGUUUUUUGAAUAAGUCAGUUUUUUAAUUGUCCAAAAUGCAUAAGGUUGUGGGUGAACUACAGCUCCCAUCAUGCCAGUUCAACCCUGAGAAACUCCCAUCAGGACUUGAAGUGUGUUAAGUUGGGCAACUUUGCUCUGGAUGCAUCAUGGGUGAGGUUGAGUGUAGGGUGAACUACAACUCCCACUCUGGUAAGUCAGUCUCCUGUAACCCCUCUAGUAGGUUGAGUGAGCCAUGCGGGUUCUGUGUGCCAAGUGUGGCCCAUCAUCGGUGGAGGUUACAAUUUCCCUGGUUGUGGGAGAACUACAACUCCCAGAAAGGAACGCUAGUUCCCUAACCCAUCCCGUAAUCACAUAUUCGGUUGUGAGGCAUCUCUGAGGAUGCCUGGCAUGGAUGAGGGCGAAACGUCAGGAGAGAAUGCUUCUGGAACAUGGCCAGAAAUACACACCAAUCCUGUGAUUCCGGCCAUGAAAGCCUUCGACAACACAUUGUCAUUGGAAAGGUUUGGCAGUGCCCUGUCCGUCUUCCAAAGAGUGCUUCCAGCUCACAGAUGGGGCAGAGUCGAUCCACGGUGGGGUGAAGGACAGGCCUCUGAUCUGCUCUUAUCGCUGGACAUUGACCUCCAACAUGUCACAUUUGCUCAGGGACCGGGCGAGAGGAAGCGGGGAAACACGAGUCAGCAGAUUCCAACGCCAAAACAGGAGAAAGUACAAAAACCCUCGGACUGUAGCAAAAUGAAGGUGUUGGUUCUAGCCCUCCUGCUGGUCAGCGUUUGCUGCCUUGAAGGCGCUUUCGUGAAACGCGAAGCGGAAGGGGAAUCUCAGGCGCCGGCUCAAGAAGUGUCACAUUAUCUGGAGACCUUAUCCCAGUUCUUUCCCCAUGAAGUGUUCAGCGAGGAGAAAAUUGGGCAGUUCAAGACCCAGGCCCAGUCGCUGGCUCAGCAGGCCCAAGAAAGCCUGAAGCCUUUGGCCGACCAAAUGCGGGAGAGCUUUAGCCAGUUCUUUGCCGCGCUCGGAGACUCCGUCAAGAAAGCGACGUCGUCGUCAUAACAAACCAUUAGGACCUUCCCGUCGAGAAUGGCUGAGAUGCAGAUUGUGCCUGGUUGCAAUAAAAAGCAGAUUUUUUCCCUCCACGCUCUCUUGUGUGGCAUUUUAAUUGGGGAACAAGAGGAUGUGGGUUUGGGGCUCCAUCAUGUCCAACGUUCCCAGCCUUGGAUCAAGAGGGCUUCUCUUCAGGACUGCUUUCUGGCCUCCAUCUUUGAGAAGGCCUUGCUUAGAGUGUCUCCAUGGUAACACUCUGGAGAGACUCUUAAGGUGUCUCCAUGGCAACACUCUGGUCCUUUGACUUAGGGUGUCUCCAUGGCAAUGUUCUAGCCCUCUGAGAGAGACCCUUAAGCUGUCUCCAUGGCAACGCUCUGGCCCUCUGAGAGGGGCUCUUAAGCUGUCUCCAUGGUAACGCUCUGGCCCUCUGAGAGAGACCCUUAAACUGUCUCCAUGGCAACACUCUGGCCCUCUGAGAGGGGCUCUUAAGCUGUCUCCAUGGCAACGCUCUGGCCCUCUGAGAGAGACCCUUAAGCUGUCUCCAUGGUAACGCUCUGGCCCUCUGAGAGGCCCUACACAACUUCUAAACAGGGUUGUUGUAUGUUUUCCGGGCUCUAUGGCCAUGUUCUAGAAGUAUUCUCUCCUGACGUUUCGCCCACAUCUAUGGCAGGCACCCUCAGAGGUUGUGAGGUAUGGAGAAACUCAGCAAGGAAGGUUUAUAUAUAUCUGUGGAAAGUCCAGGGUGAGACUCUUUGUCAGUUGGAGGCCAGUGUGAAUGUUGUAGUUAAUCACCUUGAUUAGCAUUGAAUAGCUUCAUCUCCUGGCAUGAAAAUGAACAAAAUCUGGCUACCAGUAUUAAAAAAACUCAAAAAUCAGAACAAUAAAUAACAAGCAACACUCUGAAAACAGAGGAAUUCCAGACAU
rnacentral:lncRNA from 11 species